CCUACGGGAGGCAGCAGUGAGGAAUAUUGGUCAAUGGACGAGAGUCUGAACCAGCCAAGUAGCGUGAAGGAUGACUGCCCUAUGGGUUGUAAACUUCUUUUAUAAAGGAAUAAAACGAGGCACGUGUGCCUUUUUGCAUGUACUUUAUGAAUAAGGAUCGGCUAACUCCGUGCCAGCAGCCGCGGUAAUACGGAGGUUCCGAGCGUUAUCCGGAUUUAUUGGGUUUAAAGGGAGAGUAGAUGGGUUGUUAAGUCAGUUGUGAAAGUUUGCGGCUCAACCGUAAAAUUGCAAUUGAUACUGGCAGUCUUGAGUACAGUUGAGGUAAGCGGAAUUCGUGGUGUAGCGGUGAAAUGCUUAGAUAUCACGAAGAACCCCGAUUGCGAAGGCAGCUUACUAAACUGUGACUGACAUUGAUGCUCGAAAGUGUGGGUAGCAAACAGGAUUAGAUACCCUUGUAGUC
rnacentral:rRNA from 1 species